ensembl:lncRNA LINC01257 long intergenic non-protein coding RNA 1257
GGCGAUGGGAUUUUCAUCAGCUUUUAUGUUCAGAAGGCAGGGCACACCUGGAAGCUGUUGUCGAGGGAUGGCCUGAUUGAGCUCGUGAGGCCCUGGGCGUGCGGGUGUGGAAUAUCCUGCUCCAAUCAAAGCCAUGUCACCUGCGUUGUCCAGUGAAACGUCAGCGGACAGGCGCUGCCCGGGCUCCAGGGAGCUCCUCACUGAGGCUCACUCCCUGUGCCUCUGCCAUCAGCACAGGGGGACAUGCCUGGCUGCCUGUGGGACCAGGGAGGACGCGCGGUGCGGGAGCAGAGCCAGCCACACUGCCGCUGCUGCACUGUUCAUCUGAGUGGCGCAAGAACUUGUCAGUGCCUUUAAUCUGAGGGAUGAGUCUUCAGGAGAGUUUGUUGUCAGGAUUUAACACUUACUCUUGGAAAAGCAGUAAUGUGUGCUGGAAAUGAACCGGGCAGACCCUGCUCCCAUCUCCAUCUGCCUCAAUCUCAGUGCCCUCCACUCCCCACCAGCAGCGCCUGUUACCAAGUCACUGCACAACAACCACAAAUGGAGAGUGGAGGAGCAUCACUUUCCACCCCGGGAUCAUGACGAGGGCUCUGUAACUUCAACAAAUGCGCAGAAGACGCCUGGCCUCGAGCUUGUGCAGCACCUCCGGAGCCUGCCUUCCCUUGUCACCCACGGCACCAUGACUUUGGAGGGUCUCAGCUCAGUCCUCCCUCCAGAGGGGCUGUCAGUGCUGGGCAGAAAAUCACCCUUCAACGACCGGGCCCAGCUGCGCUCUGUCAGAGAGCAGAGAAAGCAGGCCUCCGGGAGGUUCUCACUCCACCAAGGAGACGUCUCCACCCAGCGCUCAUCCUGAGCAAGGGCACUGGGAGGAAGAAAUGCAAUUUUAAAACCUGUGCUGCGAAUGAUGACUUCUGCUGCUUCCGUCUCUGGAGAGCUCUGGGCACUUAACAUCCUUCCACCCACAUGCCCGAGUCUGUGCAGAAACCUCACCCACGCGGAGGAGACUGCAUUUCCCAGUAGCAGAUUCAAGUCCUGAACUUCCUGUACCACAAAGUGUUACCCACACUGGUGGGUGCCAGCCUGAGACUCAACUAUCAGGAAAAACAUGAAGAAUUCAGUCCAUGCCCUCAAAUGCACCCAUGUGGCUCCCAAACGGCAAAUCUCAGCAAUGAGAUUCUCAGCUAGGAAAGUCCACACUGAACUCAUGCAGAGGACAAAGUACAUAGGCCUGGGGUUCUUGGCACCUGAGAUCUCUGAGCAGUUUUCUGAAUUUUCCUAUUUCCUGUUGAAGACAUAGGAACACGUGGCACAGAGGCACAGAGACCUGGAAACCAACAGGUGACCUCAGGGAGGUUUGUGAAGCACCCUGAUGAGAAGACAGUUGGGCAGACGUGGCUGGCUAUUCCCCAAGUCCAUUUUCCCUCCUGGGACCAGAGCUGACUCCAUUUCUCAAUCUGCCUUGCAGUGAGCAUAGUCAGGAGCCCACCCCUGUUGGACGCAGAUGAAGAUGCCAAGGGGAGCCUGGCUGACCAUGGAGCCAUCAUGGAGGGAGGCAGAGCUGAGGGCAGGGGGAGGUCCCAGCUGCAUCACAGGAGCCCCUGGAUCCAGCCACACCUGAAGUUCCAACGUCGCACGGUGGGACUCUGGACAGGGUCCUCCCUCUCCAUCUUCCCCUCGCUGGGACCCAGCACGGCACAGGAGGGGCGGCCAACACCAUUUAGACAUCAGAACUGUCCAGAGUGUUCUGCCCUCUGUCUUAAGUCACGACCCCGGAUUCCCCAGGCAGCCACACACAGCGGUCUACACCGGGAGAAAGUCGCCGUGAGAACCGUGGCACCGCAGGAGGCUGUGCGUGUUUGCUUUUGUUGAUCUGUUUAACUGCAGCCCGAUUUAUGUUUCUGGAUCCUGGAAUUGAGUUGACACUAUCGGUAGUAUGAAAGUGACAGACACCAGGAUGAAGUCACUCUUGUCAGACCCAGAGGAAACAGGGUCAGGAGGCCUGGGGGAGGGGAGGACGCUGCUGCGUGUCUGAGAUCAGAGCUGUUUCCAAGGACUUUCUGAAGCCCCACAAGAAGGCCCUCUGCGUCCGUCGCGCAUCUCCGGCCUGGCGGGGCUUGCGUGGCUCACACGUACACGCAUUUCUACGGCCAGGGUUAUCUAUCACCAGACAUUCUUGAGGACUGCAGUGAUUCUGAUCAGAUGCUCUCAAAAGACCACUUCCCAGUGACAACACCUCCUUCAAGAAACCGACAGCAUUCUGGCUGUGGGUCCCUGGAACCAGUGAACUGUGUCAGAGCAGCUCAGGCGAACUUCUCCCCUGUGCCAAUGAAAGCUUUUUCUUACCCUACCUCACUGGAGGCACCUGUUACUUGCCACAGUGCAUUUGGGAUUCUCAUCCUCUU